rnacentral:rRNA from 1 species
AUGACCCAAGCUGGCGACGCUCCCCGACAGGUGCCAACCCGACCCUGUCUGUUUCUUUGUUUCGCGGCGGCGGCGGGUGAGAUGGUCGACGUUCCCUCGCGGCGGCGGCAGAGGACCAUCCACGAUCCACCGUACCCCUCCCCAACUGCCAAGUCCUACCCGUCCUGGCUCCAUGGACCACUCCCCUCCUCCUGCCCUGAGCGAAGGAGGGAUUGGGCGAACCUCUCUGACGGGCCGAUGGGGAUUGUCGCCGAGCGUGUCCUCGCCUACGACAUCGCCGACUUCCUCCGCUUCCGCGCCGUUUGCCGCCCGUGGCGGCAAAUCUCCAUGGACCCACGCGCGCACGAUGGCCUAGACCGCCGGUUCCAUCCCCGGCAAUGGGUCCUGCUCCGAGAACGGCUCGCCACGCCCAACCGCAGGCGCUUCCUAAAUUCCUCCACAGGCGAGUGCAUCCACGUGGACAUCCCCGAGCUCCGUGACCACGAGGUGCUCGCCCUCACCCUCGAGGGCCUCCUCGUGCUGCUCCAUAACCAAUACCACGUGCGCCUGCUCAACCCGCUCACUAGACAAAUCCCGCACCUCCCGCCGGUCACCACGCUGCUGCCUUCUGAGGCCCAACACAUGCUUCCAGAUCGCUACAAUUUGGACAUCAACUUUUCAGCGUGGGGCUCCGGCAUUACAGAUGAUGAUACAACAGUGGUGCUCAGCUUCUACCGGCUACGCAUGUUUGGCAUUGCCAAGCCUGGCGAAGACCACUGGACAAUCUGCUUCACGCAUCUCCCAUUAAUCCAGUGGUCAGACCAGAAUUGCAAUCUCUGA